rnacentral:rRNA from 1 species
AACGCUAGCUACAGGCUUAACACAUGCAAGUCGAGGGGCAGCAGGAUCUAGCAAUAGAUUGCUGGCGACCGGCGCACGGGUGAGUAACACGUAUCCAACCUGCCGAUAACUCGGGGAUAGCCUUUCGAAAGAAAGAUUAAUACCCGAUGGUAUAAUUAGACCGCAUGGUCUUGUUAUUAAAGAAUUUCGGUUAUCGAUGGGGAUGCGUUCCAUUAGGCAGUUGGUGAGGUAACGGCUCACCAAACCUUCGAUGGAUAGGGGUUCUGAGAGGAAGGUCCCCCACAUUGGAACUGAGACACGGUCCAAACUCCUACGGGAGGCAGCAGUGAGGAAUAUUGGUCAAUGGGCGCAGGCCUGAACCAGCCAAGUAGCGUGAAGGAUGACUGCCCUAUGGGUUGUAAACUUCUUUUAUAUGGGAAUAAAGUAUUCCACGUGUGGAAUUUUGUAUGUACCAUAUGAAUAAGGAUCGGCUAACUCCGUGCCAGCAGCCGCGGUAAUACGGAGGAUCCGAGCGUUAUCCGGAUUUAUUGGGUUUAAAGGGAGCGUAGGUGGAUUGUUAAGUCAGUUGUGAAAGUUUGCGGCUCAACCGUAAAAUUGCAGUUGAAACUGGCGGUCUUGAGUACAGUAGAGGUGGGCGGAAUUCGUGGUGUAGCGGUGAAAUGCUUAGAUAUCACGAAGAACUCCGAUUG